GCCCCGCGCCCUGAGGGAGCGCCGGGCCCAGCGCGGGAUGGCGGCGAGCGCGGCCCCACAGCGGCCCCACGGCGAGCACCGCCUCACACCCGCGUGUCUGGGAAAGGCCGCUGGAACAUUAUUAUUUUUAGGGACACUAAAACGUUGUGGUCAUUGCCCUUGUAGGAAGCCUUAUCAAAAACUAAUUAUUGCUCCUCGUUAGAGCUGCAUUACAGUUCUGUUAAGAAAUACAUGAAAAGAUAAAAAGUGGCAGAAAAGUCCGUCCAUUAAGAGUAUGAGCUGAAUAAACUUUCCAUUUGUGAAUAAAACCUUGAGAAGAGAGUCUGCAAUAUUUAACCUAAAAGCCGCCGCAACAGCAGGACCAGCACCUCCAAAAUCUGCCUGGCCACUGGCAGCACCAGCCACUGGAGCUCGAGUCCAUUUUGGAACCAGGGCGAAGUGAACAGCUGGCUCGAAUGAACGCCUGGGAGCCCACACCCUCUCUGUCCCUCAAAUAACAAUGUUUGUUUCAUUCUUAUUACACUGAAAGCAAAGCAAUAAGCAUUUGGGAAAACCACAUCUACAGGCUGCUGUGUGGGAGGACAUUACAAUGUUAUCCUGUACAGCAAUCUCUUACUUCUCUCUCUCCAUUUGAUAAUAAAAACAAUGAUUGAACAAA